CCCCAACCCCUGGGUCCCCCCGGACGCCUGGGCCCUUCCCCGGACACCUGCGUCCACCCCCAACCCCUGGGUCCCCCCGGACGCCUGGGCCCCCCGCCGCGGUGCUGCAGGUGGGAGCCCUCCCCUCCCUCGCCUCCCCCCUCCCCGCGGGCUGCUGCCGGACGCCUGGGCCCCGGCGGGCGGGGGAGGGGGUUUCCUGCCCCGAAAGGGCAGCGGUGACGCGGGGGAAGCAGCGCCCGACACCGGCCCAGACACCCCGAGGCCCCGCUCGGCGCCGCCGUUUAUUGGGGCCGCUCCAGGGCCCGGCGCGCCCGGACGCCGGGGCCCGCGGCGGGGACGGGGCCGCUCGGGGGGCUCGAGGGUCCCCGCGGAGGGGGACGGAGCCACCAGGAGGGCUCAGGAUGUCCCCGAGGAGGUGAUGGAGCCACUUGGGGGGCUCGAGGGGUCCCCGUGGAGGGGGACGGUGCCCCGGGAGCCACCGGGAGGGCUCGGGACGUCCCCAAGGAGCGUGGUAGAGCCACCAGGACAGUUCAGAAUGUCCCCAAGGACAUGACGGAGCCACCGGGAGGGCUCGGAGGGUCCCCGAGGUGACGGAGCCACUGGGACGGCUCAGGAGGUCCCCAAGGAGGUGACGGAGCCGCUUGGGGGGCUCGGAGGGUCCCCGAGAAGGGGGACGGAGCCACUGGGAGGGCUCAGGAUGUCCCCAAGGAGGCGACGGAGUCCCUGGAGGGCUCAGAACGUCCCCGAGGAGGUGACAGAGCCGCUCGGGGGCCUUGAGCGGUCCCCGAGGAGACAACGGAGCCGCUCGGGGGGCUCGGAGGGUCCCCGAGGAGACGACGGAGCCGCUCGGGGGGCUCAGGACGUCCCUGCGGCGGGUGCCGGAGGCUCUGGAGCUGCCGGGGUGACUCACGUGUCCCCGCAGCGGGUGCUGGAGCCGCCGGGACGGCUCAGGACGUCCCCGAGGAGGCGACGGAGCCGCUCGGGGGGCUCAGGACGUCCCCAGGGGGGGUUACGGAAGCGCAGAACGUCCCCGCGGCAGGUCCCGGAGCGCCGGGAUGACCCAGGGGUCUCUGAAAGGGCUGCUGGAGCUGCCCGGACGCUCCAGGACGUCUCUGCAGCGGGUGACAGAGCUGCCGCGGGAACUGGGACGGCUCAGGGUGUCUCCAGGGGGUCUAUAGGGCUGUGGAAGCCACCAAGGCGGCUCAGAACGUCCCCAGGGCACUUUACGGAGCUGUGCGAGUCAUCAGCGUGGCUCGAGGUGUCCUCGGGGUGGUUUACGGACCUGCGGGAGCUGCCAGGACGGCUCAGAACAUCCCCACGGCAGGUCCUGGAGCCUCGGGAGCCACCACGACGGCUCAGAACGUCCCCACGGCAGGUCCUGGAGCCUCGGGAGCCACCACGACGGCUCAGAACGUCCCCAAGAUGGUUU
rnacentral:lncRNA from 1 species